ACACAAAUUACAUGGGGGUCUUAUUAAAAUGCAGAUUCUUAUUUGGUGGGGCUUGAGGCCUGAGAUUCUACAUUUCUAACAAGCUCCCAGAUGGUGCUGAU
rnacentral:pre_miRNA from 1 species